AGGACGAACGCUGGCGGCGUGCUUAACACAUGCAAGUCGAGCGGAAAGGCCCUUCGGGGUACUCGAGCGGCGAACGGGUGAGUAACACGUGAGUAAUCUGCCCCUAGCUCUGGGAUAGCUCCGGGAAACCGGGAUUAAUACCAGAUACGACCACUUUAGACAUCUGCUGUGGUGGAAAGAAUUUCGGCUAGGGAUGAGCUCGCGGCCUAUCAGCUUGUUGGUGAGGUAACGGCUCACCAAGGCGACGACGGGUAGCCGGCCUGAGAGGGCGACCGGCCACACUGGGACUGAGACACGGCCCAGACUCCUACGGGAGCAGCAGUGGGGAAUAUUGCGCAAUGGGCGAAAGCCUGACGCAGCGACGCCGCGUGGGGAUGAAGGCCUUCGGGUUGUAACCCUUUCAGCAGGGACGAAGCGAAGUGACGGUACCUGCAGAAGAAGCGCCGGCUACUACGCGCCAGCAGCCGC
rnacentral:rRNA from 1 species